rnacentral:rRNA from 1 species
UACGUAGGUGGCAAGCGUUGUCCGGAAUUAUUGGGCGUAAAGAGCAUGUAGGCGGGAAUUUAAGUCUGUUGUGAAAAUGCGGGGCUCAACCCCGUAUGGCGAUGGAAACUGGAUUUCUUGAGUGCAGGAGAGGAAAGGGGAAUUCCCAGUGUAGCGGUGAAAUGCGUAGAUAUUGGGAGGAACACCAGUGGCGAAGGCGCCUUUCUGGACUGUGUCUGACGCUGAGAUGCGAAAGCCAGGGGAGCGAACGGG